GACAGAGGGUGCAAACGUUGUUCGGAAUUACUGGGCGUAAAGCGUGCGUAGACGGUCAUGUAAGUCGGGUGUGAAAGCCCCGGGCUCAACCUGGGAAUUGCAUUCGAGACUGCAUGGCUAGGAUGCGGAAGAGGGAAGCGGAAUUUCCGGUGUAGCGGUGAAAUGCGUAGAUAUCGGGAGGAACAUCAGUGGCGAAGGCGGCUACCUGGCCCAAUACUGACACUCAGGUGCGACAGCGGUGGGAGCAAACAGG
rnacentral:rRNA from 1 species